rnacentral:rRNA from 1 species
GACGAACGCUGGCGGCGUGCUUAACACAUGCAAGUCGAACGGAAAGGCCUGCUUUCCCUUGUGGAUUGCGGGUACUCGAGUGGCGAACGGGUGAGUAACACGUGAGUGAUCUGCCCCCAACUUGGGUAUAAGCCUGGGAAACUGGGUCUAAUUCCCGAUAGGACUGCAGGGUGGUGCCUGUGGUGGAACACGAUUUUCUAGUGGUUGGGGAUGAGCUCGCGGCCUAUCAGCUUGUUGGUGGGGUAAUGGCCUACCAAGGCGGCGACGGGUAGCCGGCCUGAGAGGGUGGACGGCCACAUUGGGACUGAGAUACGGCCCAGAGUCCUACGGGCGGCAGCAGUGGGGAAUAGUGCACGAUGGGCGGAAGCCUGAUGCAGCGACGCCGCGUGGGGGAUGCCGGCCUUCGGGUUGUAAACUCCUUUCGACCGCGAGGAAGCCACCUGGUUGGAAGGGUGGUGACGGUAGUGGUAGAAGAAGCACCGGCUAACUACGUG